rnacentral:tRNA from 1 species
GCCUCGGUGGCGGAAUUGGUAGACGCGCUGGAUUCAAAAUCCAGUGAUAGCAAUAUCGUGGGGGUUCGAUUCCCCCCCGGGGUA